CCUACGGGAGGCAGCAGUGGGGAAUAUUGGACAAUGGGGGCAACCCUGAUCCAGCCAUGCCGCGUGAGUGAUGAAGGCCUUAGGGUUGUAAAGCUCUUUCGACGGGGACGAUGAUGACGGUACCCGUAGAAGAAGCCCCGGCUAACUUCGUGCCAGCAGCCGCGGUAAUACGAAGGGGGCUAGCGUUGUUCGGAAUUACUGGGCGUAAAGCGCACGCAGGCGGUGGUCAUAGUCAGAAGUGAAAGCCCUGGGCUCAACCCGGGAAUUGCUUUUGAUACUGGACCGCUAGAAUCACGGAGAGGGUAGUGGAAUUCCGAGUGUAGAGGUGAAAUUCGUAGAUAUUCGGAAGAACACCAGUGGCGAAGGCGACUACCUGGCCGUCGAUUGACGCUCAUGUGCGAAAGCGUGGGGAGCAAACAGGAUUAGAUACCCUGGUAGUCCACGCCGUAAACGAUGAGUGCUAGAUGUUGGGGUGCAUGCACCUCAGUGUCGCAGCUAACGCGAUAAGCACUCCGCCUGGGGAGUACGGCCG
rnacentral:rRNA from 1 species